AAUUUAACGGUUCAAAAUUCGAAUAUCACAUCACAACAGAGUUCCAACAGAAGCAGUCCAACAUAGUUCUUCGUAAAUGCUGGCCGUUGUUUUAUUUUGCUAUGGUGCAUUUAUUAGGAAUUCUCUUCUCAGUAUCCAAGAGCUAAGCCUUUGCCACAAAACACUGCUAAGUGCUAAUGAUGGAUCAUUGUUCAGACACUAAGCAAAAGAUUCUUCCUGAGAGUCAAGCCUAAUGAAAUCAGAAUUAUAAAGUAGUCUCAUGUAACUUUUUACUCAUGGUAUUAGUAGGCACUAAAAUAUGAACUAUUUAUCAAACCUGGAAGCGAAUCUUACAGUCCAUGUAGAUUUGCCUCUGUCAGGGAUCACUGGCAAAAGCUCCCAUGUAACUUGCAGGAUAGGAUUAGUUUCAGAACCAAUCAUUUGUUUAAG
rnacentral:lncRNA from 1 species